AUUGAACGCUGGCGGCAGGCCUAACACAUGCAAGUCGAACGGUAACAGGAAGACGCUUGCUUCUUUGCUGACGAGUGGCGGACGGGUGAGUAAUGUCUGGGAAACUGCCUGAUGGAGGGGGAUAACUACUGGAAACGGUAGCUAAUACCGCAUAACGUCGCAAGACCAAAGAGGGGGACCUUCGGGCCUCUUGCCAUCGGAUGUGCCCAGAUGGGAUUAGCUUGUUGGUGGGGUAACGGCUCACCAAGGCGACGAUCCCUAGCUGGUCUGAGAGGAUGACCAGCCACACUGGAACUGAGACACGGUCCAGACUCCUACGGGAGGCAGCAGUGGGGAAUAUUGCACAAUGGGCGCAAGCCUGAUGCAGCCAUGCCGCGUGUAUGAAGAAGGCCUUCGGGUUGUAAAGUACUUUCAGCGGGGAGGAAGGGAGUAAAGUUAAUACCUUUGCUCAUUGACGUUACCCGCAGAAGAAGCACCGGCUAACUCCGUG
rnacentral:rRNA from 1 species